ACAGGAAAGAAGACAAGCUGACUUUCUCUGCAGAAUUUUUUGAAGUGAAUUCUGAUUGAAAAGAUGUGGUGGUGAUUUAACAAAAACAUAUUAUUAUAAGACAUGACGUAUGUUCAGAAGCAUAAAUGAUGGCAUUAUAAAAGUGUACCUCUGCAUUAGGUAAGAGCAUUUUGGUCAAUUGAGUUAGGUGGGGUUUUUGUUUGGUUGUUUUGUUUUGUUUUUUAAUUCCUAUCCAAUUCUUCUUUUUUGUUCCCUAAGUUUAAAGCAGUUCAGUUGCUACUUCUAUCUGCUGUUUUCAAACAGCACCAAACUGUGCUGUCCCAUCCUCUAAUCUGAACAUUUAUUAUGGUGACUAGCGAAUAGUGGCAACACGUUAAUACAAGCUCUGUAAAAGCAUCUGUGAAGAAAAUAUUCUUUUACUCUGGAGGUUUUAGCUGGUUCCUGGGCACCCUUCUGCUUGGUCCAGCUCCGGCCGGGGAUGCAGAAACGAAGAAGGCCCACAGGUGGCGAUGUGGUUAAAGUACACCUGGGCUGUGAUUGCCGAGACUGGAUUUACCAGUCGGCCUGUCAGAGGGAAGUCGGUCUGCUUUUUAGCACCAGCGCUUUCAUUUGCAAGCAGAUACUCCCGGCUGAAGUUUCAUAUACCUGUGUCAGGAUGUUGCUUCUACGCUAGACUUGAACAGGAACAGGUUCAAAAUAUUAUGUUGCCUUGGAUGACUAAGAGACAGUGGCAGCGCACAAACGCAUCACUCAGUCACACUGCAGCCGCUGGAUCCUGGAAAUGGGUGAUUUGUCUGCCCCUUUGGCUGGAACCGUGGAGCCCAUUUGGGUGUACU
rnacentral:lncRNA from 1 species